CCUACGGGACGCAGCAGUGAGGAAUAUUGGUCAAUGGGCGAGAGCCUGAACCAGCCAAGUCGCGUGAAGGAUGACGGCCCUACGGGUUGUAAACUUCUUUUGUCAGGGAGCAAUUGAGUCCACGUGUGGGCUUAGCGAGAGUACCUGAAGAAAAAGCAUCGGCUAACUCCGUGCCAGCAGCCGCGGUAAUACGGAGGAUGCGAGCGUUAUCCGGAUUUACUGGGUGUAAAGGGAGCGUAGACGGCAGCGCAAGUCUGGAGUGAAAUCCCAUGGCUUAACCAUGGAACUGCUUUGGACACUGUGCG
rnacentral:rRNA from 1 species